rnacentral:rRNA from 1 species
AUUGAACGCUGGCGGCAUGCUUUACACAUGCAAGUCGAACGGUAACAGGGUGCUUGCACCGCUGACGAGUGGCGAACGGGUGAGUAAUGCGUCGGAACGUGCCGAGUAGUGGGGGAUAACGCAGCGAAAGUUGUGCUAAUACCGCAUACGUACUGAGGUAGAAAGUGGGGGACCUUCGGGCCUCACGCUAUUCGAGCGGCCGACGUCUGAUUAGCUAGUAGGUGAGGUAAAGGCUCACCUAGGCGACGAUCAGUAGCGGGUCUGAGAGGAUGAUCCGCCACACUGGGACUGAGACUCGGCCCAGACUCCUACGGGAGGAAGCAGUGGGGAAUUUUGGACAAUGGGCGAAAGCCUGAUCCAGCCAUGCCGCGUGUCUGAAGAAGGCCUUCGGGUUGUAAAGGACUUUUGUCAGGGAGGAAAUCCCUAGUGCUAAUAACACUGGGGGAUGACAGUACCUGAAGAAUAAGCACCGGCUAACUACGUGCCAGCCGCCGCGGUAA